rnacentral:lncRNA from 1 species
CUUAGCCUUAAGGGUGUCAUUUCGAACUUAUCAAAAUAACAUCUCAUCAUGGUUCGAACAAGGUCGAAUCCUGCUUUUACCCUGAUAGCGAAGGCUCUUAGCCUUAACGGUGUUAUUUCUAACUUAUCGAAAUAACAUCCCGUUGUGAUUCGAACGAGGUCGAAUCCUGCAUUGUUUUUUAUGGCAAAGGCCCUUAGCUGUAAGGGUGUUAUUUUGAACCUAUCGAAAUAAUAUCCUGUCGUGAUUCGAACGAGUUCGAAUCCUGCUUUUACUCUGAUGGCGAAGGCCCUUAGCCUUAUGGGUAUUAUUUCAAACUUAUCAAAAUAACAUCCCGCCAUGAUUCGAACGAGGUCGAAUCCUGCUUUUACUUUAAUGGCGUAGGCUCUUAGCCUUAAAGAUGUUAUUUCGAACUUAUCUAAAUAACAUCCCGUCUUGAUUCGAACGAGGUCGAAUCCUGCUUUUAUUUUGAUGGCGAAGGCCCUU